UGGGGAAUAUUGCACAAUGGGCGAAGCCUGAUGCAGCAACGCCGCGUGAGUGAUGAAGGCCUUCGGGUUGUAAAGCUCUGUCUUUUGGGACGAUAAUGACGGUACCAAAGGAGGAAGCCACGGCUAACUACGUGCCAGCAGCCGCGGUAAUACGUAGGUGGCAAGCGUUGUCCGGAUUUACUGGGCGUAAAGGAUGCGUAGGCGGAUUUUUAAGUGAGAUGUGAAAUACCCGGGCUUAACUUGGGUGCUGCAUUUCAAACUGGGAAUCUAGAGUGCGGGAGAGGAGAAUGGAAUUCCUAGUGUAGCGGUGAAAUGCGUAGAGAUUAGGAAGAACACCAGUGGCGAAGGCGAUUCUCUGGACCGUAACUGACGCUGAGGCAUGAAAGCGUGGGUAGCAAACAGGAUUAGAUACCCUGGUAGUCCACGCCGUAAACGAUGAGUACUAGGUGUAGGAGGUAUCGACCCCUUCUGUGCCGCAGUUAACACAAUCAAGUACUCCGCCUGGGAAGUACGAUCGCAAGAUUAAAA
rnacentral:rRNA from 1 species